rnacentral:rRNA from 1 species
GACGUAGGGGGCCAGCGUUGCUCGGAAUUACUGGGUGUAAAGGGUUCGUAGGCGGUGUGGCAAGUCGGGAGUGAAAUCUCUGGGCUCAACCCAGAGUCUGCUUCCGAAACUGCUGUGCUUGAGUGUGGGAGAGGCGCGUGGAAUUGCAGGUGUAGCGGUGAAAUGCGUAGAUAUCGGGAGGAACACCUGUGGCGAAAGCGGCGCACUGGACCACAACUGACGCUGAGGCGCGAAAGCUAGGGGAGCAAACAGG